UGGCUCAGAUGGUAAAGCCUCUGCCUGCAAUGCAGGAGACCCGGGUUCGAACCCUGG
rfam:TPA: Bos taurus chromosome 20, whole genome shotgun sequence.